AUACAAACCUAGCAUGGGAGAUACCUUGAUCACAAAAGCGGUUUUCCUAGUAAAAAGAUUAUUCAUUGCACUCUAAAUGUGCUAUCCACUGUGAUUUCCCCAAAUGCAGGACAUUCAACUGAAUGAUUUGUGGUAGUGGAAGACUUCAUUCAUUCUCUCCCC